AUUGAACGCUGGCGGCAGGCUUAACACAUGCAAGUCGAGCGAGCGGCGGACGGGUGAGUAAUGUCUGGGAAACUGCCUGAUGGAGGGGGAUAACUACUGGAAACGGUAGCUAAUACCGCAUACCAUCAGAUGUUCCCAGAUGGGAUUAGCUAGUAUGUGGGGUAAUGGCUCACCUAGGAGACGAUCCCUAGCUGGUCUGAGAGGAUGACCAGACACACGGUAACGGAGAAACGGUCCAGACUCCGACGGGAGGCAGCAGUGGGGAAUAUUGCAAAAUGGGCGCAAGCCUGAUGCAGCCAUGCCGCGUGUGGGAAGAAGGCCGUCGGGUUGUAAAGCACUUUCAGCGAGGAGGCGUUACUCGCAGAAGAAGCACCGGCUAACUCCGUGCCAGCAGCCGCGGUAAUUC
rnacentral:rRNA from 1 species